rnacentral:rRNA from 1 species
AAUGGCAGGUCAGCAUACUGCCGUGAAUACGUUCCCGGGGCCCUUGUACACACCGCCCGUCACACCAUGAGAGUUAGGAAUACCCGAAGCCUGUGAGCUAACUGUAAGGAGGCAGCAGUCGAAGGUAGAAUCAAUGAUUGGGGUGAAGUCGUAACAAGGUACC